rnacentral:rRNA from 1 species
AACGAACGCUGGCGGCAUGCCUAACACAUGCAAGUCGAACGAGACCUUCGGGUCUAGUGGCGCACGGGUGCGUAACGCGUGGGAAUCUGCCCUUGGGUUCGGAAUAACUUCGGGAAACUGAAGCUAAUACCGGAUGAUGACGUAAGUCCAAAGAUUUAUCGCCAAGGGAUGAGCCCGCGUAGGAUUAGCUAGUUGGGUGAGGUAAUGGCUCACCUAGGCGACGAUCCGUAACUGGUCUGAGAGGAUGAUCAGUCACACUGGAACUGAGACACGGUCCAGACUCCUACGGGAGGCAGCAGUGAGGAAUAUUGGACAAUGGGCGAAAGACCUGAUCCAGCAAUGCCGCGUGAGUGAUGAAGGCCUUAGGUUGUAAAGCUCUUUUACCAGGGAUGAUAAUGACAGUACCUGGAG